UUCGAAGCGGUUAGUGGCGGACUGGUGAGUAACACGUAAGCAACCUACCUGUUAGAGGGGAAUAACAGUGAGAAAUCACUGCUAAAACCGCAUAUGCCGUGAACAUCGCACGAUGAAAACGGGAAAAGAGCAAUCUGCUAAUAGAUGGGCUUGCGUCUGAUUAGCUAGUUGGUGUGGUAAAGGCAUACCAAGGCGACGAUCAGUAGCCGGACUGAGAGGUUGAACGGCCACAUUGGGACUGAGAUACGGCCCAGACUCCUACGGGAGGCAGCAGUCGGGAAUAUUGCGCAAUGGAGGAAACUCUGACGCAGUGACGCCGCGUAUGGGAAGAAGGUUUUCGGAUUGUAAACCAUUUUAGACAAGGAAGAAACAAGACAGUACUUGUAGAAUAAGCUCCGGCUAACUACGUGCCAGCAGCCGCGGUAAUACGUAGGGAGCAAGCGUUAUCCGGAUUUAUUGGGUGUAAAGGGUGCGUAGACGGGAAGGUAAGUUAGUUGUGAAAUCCCUCGGCUCAACUGAGGAACUGCGACUAAAACUGCUUUUCUUGAGUGCUGGAGAGGAAAGUGGAAUUCCUAGUGUAGCGGUGAAAUGCGUAGAUAUUAGGAGGAACACCAGUGGCGAAGGCGACUUUCUGGACAGCAA
rnacentral:rRNA from 1 species